rnacentral:rRNA from 1 species
CGGGACGGGUGAGUAAUGUCUGGGAAACUGCCUGAUGGAGGGGGGUAACUACUGGAAACGGUAGCUAAUACCACAUAACGUCGCAAGACCAAAGAGGGGGACCUUCGGGCCUCUUGCCAUCGGAUGUGCCCAGAUGGGAUUAGCUAGUAGGUGGGGUAACGGCUCACCUAGGCGACGAUCCCUAGCUGGUCUGAGAGGAUGACCAGCCACACUGGAACUGAGACACGGUCCAG